rnacentral:rRNA from 1 species
GGAGCGAACAGGAUUAGAUACCCUGGUAGUCCACGCCGUAAACGAUGCUAACUCGUUUUUGGUUUUUCGGAAUCAGAGACUAAGCGAAAGUGAUAAGUUAGCCACCUGGGGAGUACGUUCGCAAGAAUGAAACUCAAAGGAAUUGACGGGGGCCCGCACAAGCGGUGGAUUAUGUGGUUUAAUUCGAUGAUACGCGAGGAACCUUACCAAGACUUAAAUGGNAAAUGACAGAUUUAGAAAUAGAUCCUUCUUCGGACAUUUUUCAAGGUGCUGCAUGGUUGUCGUCAGCUCGUGCCGUGAGGUGUUAGGUUAAGUCCUGCAACGAGCGCAACCCCUGUCACUAGUUGCUACCAUUAAGUUGAGGACUCUAGUGAGACUGCCUACGCAAGUAGAGAAGAGGAAGGGGGGGAUGACG